GUCGACCAUAUGCGAUCGCGUGCGCCAAUAUCUAUGACUAAGCAUAUAAUUCCAGAUAAGUCCAGUGACCUUGUCCUCUUCUGAUGUCUCGUCAGGUCCGUGAUUGCGAUACCUCUUAUGUCCCUUGCCUCUUCUAUGACCUUGACGUUUGCGUGGACGUACUCGAGCCAUCGGACUGUUGUCUUCCCGACUUGCCCCUUCCAGAAGACCCCGCCGCCCUAAUACCUGAAUGCUGUCUGAUGGUCUUAUUUCUAGCAGCACUUCUUUGAUUUCCAUUUGAAACCGCCAAGUUUUUUAGUCUUGAAGUUCUGGAAGCCCUGAUAAUUUAUUUUUUUUUGUUAUGUUUAUAAAAAAAAAUCCAAAUCAAAUUGGAAGCUGAAACCUGCGCUGCUGCCCAUCCCUGUUUCCUCGAAAAGCCGGAGAUUUGUCUGAUGGUGGUGCAGGACGCGCUGGUUUUUGUGCAGCGUCCUUUAGAAUUUUGUCUUUCGCUACCGUAUUAUUCCGUGGCUCCUCAUCAUUAUCCGCAAACCCAA